rnacentral:rRNA from 1 species
AGUGAACGCUGGCGGUAGGCCUAACACAUGCAAGUCGAACGGCAGCACAGUAAGAGCUUGCUCUUACGGGUGGCGAGUGGCGGACGGGUGAGGAAUACAUCGGAAUCUACUUUUUCGUGGGGGAUAACGUAGGGAAACUUACGCUAAUACCGCAUACGACCUACGGGUGAAAGCAGGGGAUCUUCGGACCUUGCGCGAUUGAAUGAGCCGAUGACGGAUUAGCUAGUUGGCGGGGUAAAGGCCCACCAAGGCGACGAUCCGUAGCUGGUCUGAGAGGAUGAUCACCACAACUGGACCUGAGACCCGGCCCAGACCCUUAGGGAGGCAGCAGUGGGGAAUAUUGGACAAUGGGCGCAAGCCUGAUCCAGCCAUACCGCGUGGGUGAAGAAGGCCUUCGGGUUGUAAAGCCCUUUUGUUGGGAAAGAAAAGCAGCAGGUUAAUACCCCGCUGUUCUGACGGUACCCAAAGAAUAAGCACCGGCUAACUUCGUG